rnacentral:lncRNA from 1 species
GAAUACUUGGACUUCAUGUACUCUUCAGCUUCCCAAGUGGCCUCUUCAACCUUUUGGUUCUUCUAUCAAACCUUUACUGAAGCCACAUCCUUCUUCACAACUAGCGGACUUGUCGAUCCAAGAUCUCCACCGGGACUUUCUCAGAAGACAAGGAAUCCAAAAUACCUAUACUUUUCAAUGGAACCAUUAUGGAAGAAUCACC